rnacentral:rRNA from 1 species
UGGGGAAUAUUGGACAAUGGGCGAAAGCCUGAUCCAGCCAUGCCGCGUGUGUGAAGAAGGCCUUAUGGUUGUAAAGCACUUUAAGCGAGGAGGAGGGUACUGGUAUUAAUACUACCAGGUACUGGACGUUACUCGCAGAAUAAGCACCGGCUAACUCUGUGCCAGCAGCCGCGGUAAUACAGAGGGUGCGAGCGUUAAUCGGAUUUACUGGGCGUAAAGCGUGCGUAGGUGGUUCGUUAAGUUGAAUGUGAAAGCCCCGGGCUCAACCUGGGAACUGCAUCCAAAACUGGCGAGCUAGAGUAGGGCAGAGGGUGGUGGAAUUUCCUGUGUAGCGGUGAAAUGCGUAGAUAUAGGAAGGAACACCAGUGGCGAAGGCGACCACCUGGGCUCAUACUGACACUGAGGUGCGAAAGCGUGGGGAGCAAACAGG